CCCCUCCAGUUCCCUUUCCCAUCAGAUCUGCACACUGGUCUUGGUGGUCGUACAAGGAGGAAAAGGAACAUGGAAGCUGACCUCCCAGUGCUUAUAGUCUGGUAUAUAGCUUAGGGGCCAGCUUCAAACAAGG